UUGUAGAAGGUAUGAGAUGUCACUUUUGUGAUGAGACUAUGAAGAUGGGUUUUGUUUAUGACCUAAUCAUGUAAAUGGCACUCUCUUCUGGCACUUUCUCUCUGGCUCUUCUCAUGAAGCAAGCAGGAGAGACCUAUGUGGGUGGCAAGGAACUGAGGGCACCUCCUGCCACCUGUCAGCAAGAAGUGAGGCCCUCUGUCCAACAGCCUCCGAUGAACUGAAUGCUGCCCACACCACAAGAGUGAGCUUUGACGUGGAUCCCUCCCCAGUUGAACCUUCAGGCAAGACCGCAGCCCAGGCCGACACCUGCCCUGUGAUGGAUCCUGAGCAGAGGAGCCAGGGAAGCCACACCUAGAUCCCUGCCCCACCAAAAGUGUGAGGAAGAAUAAAUAGAAGCAGUAAGUAUGCUGUGGAAGCCUCGCUUAUUUUUGGAGGCACCUUGAGGCUACCUAGAAGGAACCAGGGGGCCAGGGAGUAGCUGUUUGUGCUGACGACCGGUUGGGAAGAGCGUUCAGGGUGGAGAAGCAGCGUUUCUGCUGUUCCUUUGAAACCGAGUUAGACCUUGCCAUUGGCCUCAGGAAACUUCCCGUUGACUGUCUCCUGGAGACACUGUAACACAUGCAAGCUCGGCAGCCAAGUCAGGGACGAUACACUUUUGGAGUAAGGCACGCUCCUUCCUCACCUCUGGACCUCCACUCUGCUCCGCCUCCCCUGACUCUGUGUCUCAGCUGCCCCAAGAGGCCCAUGGGUCCGUUCACCGUGCUCCACCUCCAAUGCCGCUACCCUCUCUGAGCUGCCCGGAUGACGAGGAUGGUCCGUCGGCUGUGCGCCCGCGGCUCUUACUGGCCCCCGCACCAGAGUCCACGCUGCAGCUAGAGUGACCUUAACACACGUGGACCGCAGAAGGUUCUUUCUGGACACUGAAAACAUGUCUCACCCGUUCCCCACCCCAUUUCUCAAAAAGCCUCAGCGCUGGAUUGAAAAGCACGCAUUGCAACAGGAUGAUUGAGGGAAGGUAAUUAUGUAUUAUUAAAUGCAAAAAAAAAAAAAAAAAAAAGAGAGAGAGAGAGAGAAAAAUUGUUCUUUGCAACACCCCUAUGGCUUGGCAGAAAUGAAAAUAGCAAAAUGCUAAAAUGGUUUUCCUGCCAGUGGGAUGAAUGGAUGCCUGCCCCCUUGAUUUGGGGUCAUUGGCUGCAGGGACUGCCCUGAGCACCAGUGGAGACCCUGAGGAGUGGGGACGGAUGGCUCCAGCGUGGGGGUCUUUGUGGGGACGUGGGCCACAGAAAGGGAGGGGGCAUAGAAGCCCGGAGGAGAUGUUUUCUUGUUCCCUUGGCUCGGAAGGUGGGUGGUCUCUGUGUCUUUGGAUGAGACCUUUCUGGGUAGGAUGAGGGUGAUAAUACCCAAACAUCAAAAUCAUACCCCACGUGGCCCAGCACUUUAAAGUUUACAAAGUGCAGGGGCACCUGGGUGGCU